AGCAGUUUGGUUUGUGUGACAUGGGAGAGGGCACAUCUCCCAUGGAAAGAAAACAGAAGGAGAAAAAAAAACAUACAAUUUUAAUGUAGAAGUGAAUAAGAAAUGGCUAAGAAUUGUGUCUGGUUGCUACCAAUAACCCUGAGAAUAUUAUUUAGCAACAAACUGCUAAUGACCACUUCUAGUUUUGAUCUAAAGCUAACGGUAGGCAAAGCAAAAACGUUAAAUUCCUGCAGCAGACAGAAGGCUGAUAGAUUUUGGUUAAUUAAAUACAAUUCUGCUGAUAUUUUUCCCUUAAUGAAUCCAAACCUGUUAAGAGUACUUCUCACUUAAUUGCAGUGGACAGGCCGGCAAGCUUUUAGUCCAGACCUGAUCGUCCUGUCCAAACGGUGGAAGGGUGGGCAACCUUCCUCCUGCUUCUCCUCCUGCAGAUCUGGGCCUUACCAGCCUUCAAUAAGAGGAUGGAGGUAUCCAGACAGGAUUUGUCACAUGAACGUUCCCACUACCUCAGCAGAGGAAGGAGGCAUCCAUCAGUGCCCUCGCUGAAGAGCAGGGCAGCCGUGAUCCAUCCCUGUGUGGUUCUGCAGCCUACACACCUGUACUACAUGGGACCCGUUUUUUCCUCUCCACAGGCAGGCAACAUGGGGGAGAAAACACAGAACAAAGAAGGGUACGGCACAGUAGGCUUCCUCACAUUUGACAGUUUUUCUCCUCCUCCCAUCUUUUUUGAUUUUCUAAGAAUGAGGAGGAAGAUGUUUUUCAAGCUUUUAAAGAUGUAUAGCUCAUAACGCCUGAAAAAAUAUACAGACACACAUAUAUAUACACCACUUUUUAAUCUGAUCAGAUGCUGCAAGCAGCAGGAUGCAAAAAUAGGUAACAAAAACAACAACAAAGCCCCUGCAGUUCUGAAAUGUGCGUUAUCUCCUCCUUUCCUACUCCUCCAACCUUAAGCGUAUAGUUUUACACCUAAUAAAACCACUCGAAUAAUAAGGCAUUAAUUUCAAACAUGUACACAAUCAUGCUGGCCUGCAUCUGAUGCUCCAAACCCAGUGCCUCUGGAAAAUGGUUCCAGUGGAACAAUAUGGACAAACACUUUGGCCGGUGGUUCACAUCCCCCACGACCACCCCAGAUACCCUGAACUUUGGCCAGCCAUCUCCCUCUGCUAAUCCUCAAGUUGCUUAGGAAGAUUUACCUGUAUUAUCAAAAAUUCCGACUGUAGUCUGGGGCUUGGACCCUAUAGCCUGUAAGCUCCAAAUAAUGACAAAACAGCGACGCUAGUGUACUUCAUGCAUCUUAGAUUGGAUGUUCAAAUGUAAGGAUAAUUUCUUUUCCUCAAAUCUGAGCUCACAGGCAGACAUGAGCAGCGACUGCUAGAUAUGGGGACAAAGCAGGAUGCAGUAGCCAAAACACACAGGUGCCCACAACGCCCUGUUGCUGCCCCUCCGUCCCCAGAAUAGCCGGGUGCUGCACCAUAGCAAUGCGCCUCUGUUUCCCAUACCAGUGAGCAAUCCCAGUGUCCACAGUGAACAAGGUAAACCACUGUGGAUGUGUGGUGGCCACCCUUGAAACUGUUUCUCCAUAAGCAUUAUCCUGUCCCAUAACACAAAUUAUUCACCCUAAUCAUCGCAGCUAGGAGAAAAGAAAGUGUAAGUAAAUGCAUAAGUGAUGUAAUGCAGCACGGCAUUUUUGAAGGUUGCCACUGCUCCAGAGUGAGAAUUGGAGCAAAUGACCAAACAGGUAAAUAUGAAGUACAGGCAGAAAAAAUGCAGGAAGGCAACUGCAAGCAGACUUGUAUGCCUCAGCUUUAAUAACGCUAGCAAAUCUGUAACCAGAAAUCUUUUAAUUCUGCUGUAUUUGAUAGAUUACAAAUCCUCUCCUAAAAACUCCUGAAAGCAGCUUACAGUUCAGACAAAUAACUAUUUUGCAGCGGAUGACAAGAGACCUAAGAACGGAAACGAUGGAAUAAUAGCUCUGUAAGUAACAGAUUUCUUGAAUGCAAGAGACAGAAACGAAGAAACCCGUACAGUUCAAUGAGCAGUUUACAGCUGGAAAUCCUAUGAGACCCGAUUAGGUUAACUGUGAAUUUCUUUUAAAGGCAACAAGAAGAAAAUCUUCAGGAACAAAGUGUCUCAGGAAAUAAGACACGCCUCCCACUCCUGAUGACUUUUUUUUUUUAAAUGAACUGAUGUCUUCUCUGUGCUCCAAGAUGAGACAAAGAACUCAACUAAAACCAAAAAAUGUAGAAGCACUGCAAAUAAUACCCCCCAAAAUGGUUGCCUUGCUCAGAGCAGUGGCACAGAGGAACAAUUUGCUCUCCCUCGGUUAUCAACAAGGCUCACCCACAGUAGGCACAAGCAGGGUGCUCACAAGCUUGUGUUUUUUUUCAUGAAGGGAGCUUGUCAGCUUUUGAUUUCAGUUUGCACCUCCGGUGCCCUAGGACCUGCUGGCCGCCUGCCCCAUGCCUCCCCAGUGCCAGCAGACCCAGCUGCCCGCUGCCGUGCGGGACGCCUGCCUGAACAGCGAGAGCAAAGUGAGCCCACCAAGACUCACUGCUCAUUUGGAAAACAAGUCACAUGCAAGCCAAGUUCAUUUUAGGGUAUUCUACAGGAGUCACCAUCCAGCACAACCGUGCAGAGCAGCCUAUGCUGGGGAGGGCAUCACCACUCUGGGGCCAAGCAGGCCCAGCUGGACAUGGUCCUCGGUCCUCUCCAGAGCAGCCCUGUUAGAGCAAGGCAGCGCACAGGACCGGAGGAGCAGCCCUGGAAGAGCAAGGCAGAGCACAGGACCGGAGGAGCAGCCCUGGAAGAGCAAGGCAGAGCAGGCAACACACAGGACUGGAGGAGCAGCCCUGGAAGAGCAAGGCAGAGCACAGGACUGGAGGAGCUCCCAGGCAGGGGCCGGCACUGUCCCUGUAAGACAGCCUCCUGCACGUACACAGCCGCUGCUCGAGCAGCAAACAAAGCUGCAGAGAGCCUGCGCACAGCAGUCCUCGGCUCAUGCCAUCGCAGCACAGGUAGCGGCUGCGGGGAAAACAACAAAACCACCACCAACCACGACAAAAAGGCAGACGACAAUCGCGAUCAGUAACGACCGAGUCAUGCACUUUGACGGGUCUGCGUGCGGCGGGACAGGAGGGAGGUGCAGCAGAAGCCCCAGAGAGGUCAAGUUCACUCCAGCACCUUCUCGCUUAAUCCCUACAGGAGAAGUUCAAGUGCACGGGUGGGUCUCUCCCCACCACCACAUGCCCCGAGAGCCCGUGCCGUGCUGCAACCGGAGGCUGCAUCUGCUCCGGCUGCCACGGGGGAGGCGGCCGGUUCGCUGCCUGUGGUUUAUAAAUAAAUGCUCUGGGGGGGUUGGGAAGGGGUGGAAAUUAGUGCCAUGCAAAGAGAAGUCUGGGUGGCGAUUAUGGUGUUAUGAUCUGCAGUAAAAGCCUCUGCGGGCGAGCGCAGAGCAGAAGGAGCGAUGAGGGCGGAUGGUUUGGAAGUGCAGUGAGGAAGGUAAAACCGGAGCGCGCUGCGCCUCCCCCAGCGGCAAGCUCGGUACCUC